rnacentral:rRNA from 1 species
AUUGAACGCUGGCGGCAUGCUUUACACAUGCCAGUCGAACGGUAACAGGCCGCAAGGUGCUGACGAGUGGCGAACGGGUGAGUAAUGCAUCGGAACGUGCCCAGUCGUGGGGGAUAACUACUCGAAAGAGUAGCUAAUACCGCAUACGAUCUAUGGAUGAAAGCGGGGGACCGUAAGGCCUCGCGCGAUUGGAGCGGCCGAUGUCAGAUUAGGUAGUUGGUGGGGUAAAGGCUCACCAAGCCAACGAUCUGUAGCUGGUCUGAGAGGACGACCAGCCACACUGGGACUGAGACACGGCCCAGACCCCUACGGGAGGCAGCAGUGGGGAAUUUUGGACAAUGGGCGCAAGCCUGAUCCAGCAAUGCCGCGUGCAGGAAGAAGGCCUUCGGGUUGUAAACUGCUUUUGUACGGAACGAAACGGCUCUGGUUAAUACCCGGGGCUAAUGACGGUACCGUAAGAAUAAGCACCGGCUAACUACGUG